UAGCCUAGUGGUUAAGGCUAUGGAUUGCUAAUCCGGAGACGGCGGAUUCGAUUCCCGU
rnacentral:tRNA from 1 species